rnacentral:tRNA from 2 species
GGUGCCGUCGCCAAGUGGUAAGGCAGAGGCCUGCAAAGCCUCCAUCCUCGGUUCAAAUCCGAGCGGCACCUCCA